UGCAAAAGUAAUUGAACUUGGUACGAGAGGAACCGUCAAUUAUUGGUAUUUGGGCCUGCCCGAGCAGGCAAUGACCCGAAGCUAUCAUCCGUUGGGUUAUGGCUGAACGCCUCUAAGUCAGAACCCGUGCUAGAACGCG
rnacentral:ncRNA from 1 species